CUCCUCCCGCCAGCCCUCCCCGCCGCCGGCGCGCUCAGGGUCUCUCGCUGCAUUUGCCCGGGGGGGGGGGGGGUUGCUCGUGGCCCUGCAGACAACCCUCACCGCGGGCACCUCCGCGCGGCCACGCUUGUGUCGGCCCCGGACCCCCCCCCCCCGGGACCAGUCCCUGCUAAAAGGGCUGCCCAAAGGAGCCUCGGCUCGCACUCAGUCUGCCCAGCCUGCGAAAUGGGAACAGUGCAUUCCUCCCUGCCUGGAAAAGGACUUGGCGAGGGGUUGCUCCAAGGAGGGAGGGAUGCCGGGGAAGCACCGCCCUUUGCGUGUUGUUGGAGUUGAUGCUUUUAUUCUCCAGAGAAAAGAGAGUGAGCAGGGAGGACCGGUGAAAAAGCUAGAGACAGACAAACUACGAGAAGCUUUGCAGAGCGCGCCCGUGGCUUGCAGAUAACCGCCACCUCCGUGCCUCGCUCUGCCCUCUGUGCAGAGCCUGCCUCGGCCCCAAACUCCUGCCCGCCCGCCUCCGUGGCACCUCGCACCUGCAUGCUCACCCCUGCCUGACUGUGAACCAUCUGCACAACACACUGGAAACACGCCCAGGUGCAGGAAACCCCCUCUGCACCUUCACCCCGGGCUGCUCGGUGCCAAAGGAAGCUGAGACCAAGAAGAAAACUAGUGUGUUUUCACAAAUGCACAGGGCUUGCACACCUGUGUCAGAGCAGAUAUCGUCGAAGACCAUGCAGCAGCAAUGGUGGCACGGGCUUGCAGAACAAGUUCCAAAGACAUCCAACGCCGGGUAAGGCAAGCUGUGCACGGGCAGCUGGCACUACAUUACAGUAGAGGUCCUCCAUCUGCCUGGUUGAUGGCUCUCCUCCCGACACCAACAGCAAAUGCCCAUCCUCCUCCUUUUUAUGGAACGUGGCACAUCUCUGCACCUCUCACGCCAACCCCUAGCCUGUCCCAGAAGCCUCUCCUAUCAUGGCUCGCCAGGCUGGUAACUUCACAGAAAGUCUCAAAGGCAAACUGAGUCAUGGGUGACCCUGCAAGACAAGCUUCUGGGUUCGCGACUGGCACUUUUAACAAAGGGACAUGACUGGGAAUGUGGGAAUUACCAGACUGGACCAGUUGGGCAACUCCUCUCUCCCAGUACCCUGCCUCUGGAUGCCACCACCUACUGGAGAAGGUGCAAGAACCCCCCUGGCGGCCAGUGAGGGCAUUUUCUGUCCUAGGGCAAGUGUCUCGCUAGCUCUGGGCGCUGCCUGAGCAGUCUGAUCCCUGCUAUUUUAUUUUCCACCCUAUGGAAUGUCACUGGGCGCGUUCCUUUCCCCCCACCCAAAAUGCCUGAUGCAUCCUAUUGAACGGACCCCGUGAGUUUGUGGGGGGAUGGAGCUGAGCCCCUCGGGGGGGGGGAGAGCAGGUUGGGGUGGAAAAGCUUGAACAGCCACUGCCUGUGCUGCAGAUAAACAGGACUUCAGCCCCCGCGGGCUGCGCUAGCAGCAUUCACGUACAGGCACACUCAUUAAAAAAAAAAAAAAAAAAAAGA